rnacentral:rRNA from 1 species
CACGUAGGGUGCGAGCGUUGUCCGGAAUUAUUGGGCGUAAAGGGUGCGUAGGCGGUGGGGUAAGUCAGGUGUGAAAUUUCGGAGCUUAACUCCGAAACUGCAUUUGAUACUGCCUUGCUUGAGGACUGGAGAGGAGACUGGAAUUCACGGUGUAGCAGUGAAAUGCGUAGAUAUCGUGAGGAAGACCAGUGGCGAAGGCGGGUCUCUGGACAGUUCCUGACACUGAGGCACGAAGGCCAGGGGAGCAAACGGG